AAAUUUAAAAAAAGGGCACUUGGUGAUUAUAUUCAUUUGACUUGACAUACAUUGUUUUACUGAAGCUGAAUAUCCCAUUUUAAUUCAAAAGUUAAUUUUGAUUUCGAACAAGUAAAAAAAUACCACAUGACUACGACUCACAAAAUGUCCGUCGCGUGCAUUGUUGGAAAUGUUCUGAUGUGAAUUUAACCACUGUCUUUUUUUAUUUAAAGAGGAUUAA